UACGUAGGGGGCUAGCGUUGUCCGGAAUCAUUGGGCGUAAAGCGCGUGUAGGCGGUCCGGUAAGUCCGCUGUGAAAGUCGGGGGCUCAACCCUCGGAUGCCGGUGGAUACUGUCGGGCUUGAGUACGGAAGAGGCGAGUGGAAUUCCUGGUGUAGCGGUGAAAUGCGCAGAUAUCAGGAGGAACACCAAUUGCGAAGGCAGCUCUCUGGGACGUUACUGACGCUGAGACGCGAAAGCGUGGGGAGCAAACAGG
rnacentral:rRNA from 1 species